rnacentral:rRNA from 1 species
GCCCCACUAGUCUGGGAUACCACUUGGAAACAGGUGCUAAUACCGGAUAAGAAAGCGGAUCGCAUGAUCAGCUUUUAAAAGGCGGCGUAAGCUGUCGCUAUGGGAUGGCCCCGCGGUGCAUUAGCUAGUUGGUAAGGUAAAGGCUUACCAAGGCGAUGAUGCAUAGCCGAGUUGAGAGACUGAUCGGCCACAUUGGGACUGAGACACGGCCCAAACUCCUACGGGAGGCAGCAGA